GGCGUGUCUCGGCUCACAAAAGUUACCUCAGGGUUUCUUACCCUUGCGUUUUCCGCCCUUCAGCUUCCCCCCAAGGUUUCUCUCGCAAACCCUUCCCUCUUCAGGGUUCUCCCCCCGACCUGCGCUGAGUCCCCCUCAGACUUGUUCCCAGCUUCCCCCUUUCCCUGCAUCCCUCCCCGGCUCUCUUUCUCCACACUUUCCCCUUCUCCCACAGCCUCCCCCGCUCGGGGAUCCUUUCCCUGCGUGCCCCCAGUGAGGGGUAAGUGCUUCCCUCCCACAGGGGGUGCAGAUGCCCAGGGUUAGGCUUGCCCCAGCCUCGCGUUCGCAGCCCCCGGUACCCCCCAGUCUGUGGGGCUGGUCUGGAUGGGUGGGGUGACCUGAGGGGAGAGUCUGACCCGAGUGUGUGGGAUUGACUCUGGUGUGUGUGGGGCUGAUCCUGGUAUGUGGGACUGACUGGGUGUGUGUGGGGCUGACCCCGAUGUGAGGGGCUGACCCCCGUAUGUGGGGCUGACUCCGGCCCCAUCACUGACCCCCGUGCCCGUCACUGUCCCGUGUGGGUGGCCGGGGUGGCGAUGGCCGCGGAGCUGGUGAAGGUGGCUGUGCCUUGCCGGCCGCUGAGCGGGCGUGAAGCGGCCCUGGGGCACCGAGCCAUCGUCCAUCGUCGGCGGGGACAGCGCACGGGGCGGUGCCUGGUGCGGAACCCCGCGGCCUCCGCCCAGCCUCCCCAGGCUGCUCUCCUUCGGCGGGGAGCUCAGCACCCAGCACAUCCACAGUGAGAUCGCUACCCCCUGGUGGAGGUCAGUGGGCACCCAGGGCAGUUUUGGGCACCACAAUGAGUUCCAGGAGCGUUUGGACAAUGCUCUCAGGCACAGGGUGGGAUUGUUGGGGUGUCCAUGCAGGACCAGGAGUUGGGCUGUGAUCCCUGUGGGUCCCUUGCAGCUGAGCAUGUUCUGUGAACACAUAGCUCAGGACAGGGGCUGAGGGGUUUUCCAAGUGAUCCCUAAGGAAAGCAGGAUCCACUUGACCUUCCCUACACUCUGCCUAUGGCAGGGUGGUGGAACAAGAUGAACUUUAAGGUCCCUCCCAACCCAAAGCAUUUGGGGUUCCUGAUUUAUGGGCAGAAAGCCCUGUCCGCUGCUUCAAGAGGCUUAGCUACAAGCCUGGGCAGCAGAGGAGAGCAGACAGUGUUCCAGCAACAGUCUGAGAAAUUGAACUUUGUUAGCAGCCAGCAUGGCACUAAGGAGAGAGUUACAUUUAAUUGUUUUAGGUGGAUGUUUUUAUCACAGAAUCCCAGAAUGGUUUGGGUGGGGAAGGCACCUCAUCCCAUCCCAUCUCCUGCCAUGGGCAGAGACACUUUCCAUUAUCCCAGGCUGCUCCAAGCCCUCUCCAGCCUGGCCUUGGACACUGCCAGGGAUCCAGGGGCAGCCACAGCUGCUGUGGUACCAAACUGAUGACUUUAGGGAUAAAUUUACUGUCGAGUGAGAAACCUUAGAGAAGAUGGGGAGCCUCAGCCUGGAUUAGACUGGCAAAAGGAUGGGGGAUCCCUUCGUUUCCUUGUUAGCAGGUCAGCACAGGAAACAGCUGAGGUGAGAAAUGAACCUCUUAAGCAAAAAAAGACCAACCUCCCUCCCCAAAAUGUUUUGUUAGAAGAGGUAACAUGGAUUAAAUGGCUUGUGAUGGUUUUAAGAUGGAAGUUCCUAAUCAUGAGAACAAGCAGGGCUAGAAACAAUCGAUAUUAGAAAAAUAGCUUAUUUUUUCUUAUUUAAAACUUAAGGAAUCCAGUUAUUUUUUCUUCCUACCACACUUCUCUGAAAUAAGGGCAAGUGACAGUGAACAGCUUGCCAAACAAAAAUUAUUCAAAGCUAGAGACCAUCCCCUUGGCCACCCCACAACCAACUGUUGUUCUAGUUGUCUCUUUCAAUCUCAUAAGAUUUUUGUGCCCUAUGGCAAAAAUAUUAUAGUUUGCUAAGUGUUGGUGUUGUCAACUGCUUUUCAACACCUGCACUGCUUCAAGAUUCCUUGUUUUGAGAGAAAAACAUUGAUUUAUAUGCUAAUUUUGUAAUUGCUAUACUCUGAUGACGUGUGAAGAUUAAGCAGCCAUUUGAUGUUUACUUCCAGCUCUUCCUUUAAAACACCUUUUGAGGGGGUGGCAAUGAAUCUGGACAAUGUGUUUCCAGUUAAGAAAUGAUGGUGGCUGUUUUCUCUGCUUUUGCCCCAUCUCCAGGGUCUCAUGGAAGGCUACAAUGGCACCAUCUUUGCCUAUGGCAGUGGGAAAUCCUUCACCAUGCAGGGAGCUGCAGAUUCUUCCUCACAGAAAGGGAUCAUCCCCAGGGUGUUUGAACACAUCUUUGAGAGCCUGCAGGGCUUCUGCCUGCUGGGGCUGCUCACCUGGAAAAAAUCCAGCUCCCUGCCUCAAACCCCAGGUGGAUCUGGAAGCAGAGAAGCAGCUGAUCAGAGCACUGACACACAGACUAGAGCAAUCUCUGACCACACACCUUCACAUGAAGAUGCUGUUGCUGCAGCACAUGAAGAGCCAACAUCA